rnacentral:lncRNA from 8 species
UUUUAAUAUGGAGACGAACUGAAAAGGGAAAAUAAAACCAUAACUAGAAAAAAAAAUAGGUGUAGUUUUAAAUCCUCAUCAUUCCGUAAAUGAUCGAUCAUAUCCGACAAAGCCCGAGAAUGCCUGCGAACAAUUUGUGUGAGAGCAGAGAAGGGAUUGUUGUGCAUUCUUGAGCGCUACAGAGGAGAGAGAGAAAGAGCGCAUUUCACUGUGCGACAAACAGCGGUUGAGCUACUGAGAGGAGAGGAGACAUUCGGACACAUUGCUUCUCUACUUGGAAAAUAUAUGGUCUAAUUCAGCAGAACUGUCCAUCAGGUCCUAUACAUCUCAAGGAUUAUACUUUAAAUUCCUCCUUGUGUAGCCUAUUACGGAGAGGACGCACGCCCGGAGGAGAGCAGAGGUGGACAUCGGGACUGAGAAGGAAAGGAAUUGUAUUCUUUCUGAAGUGGAUCGAGAGAACCAAGUGGUUGCUAUUUUCGAAGACAGAAAUGCCAAUGACCAGGGGACCUAGAGAGACUGUCACUAUGAUUGUGUGAGCUCCUAGCCAUCGAGCGGAGUGGGAGUGUCUGUAGGAGAACAGAGGCGAGAGGAGUGCCAACACCUGGACUAUGGCGCCGCACCACCGGCGGGCAGACUAUCCCCUCGCCAGGGGGGCCGUGCUUAUCCUGCUCCUGGGCUGUCUGGCCCUGCCAUCACCAUCCCAUGCAGACAGUGAGUAACACAAUCAUAUCUAUGAUACCUCAAUAGAUAUAUGCUGUAUAUGCAUAGUAUUCUAAUACUAUUUCUGUGUACACACAGGGGCAGACUGGGACCAGAAAUAAGUUCUGGCAUUUCUAACACACUGGCCCGUUUUUUUUUCCCUUGAGGCCCCCAUAAUUAGCCAGAUAGUGAUAAUUUUGCACAAAAAACCCAAGUUAGACAGACCCACUAGGCUAAAAAUGAACCAGUCCUUCUAGCAUUACCCCGAAAUGCAGAUGGUCAGUCUGCCCCUGGGUACACCAGAGACAAGUGUGUAGAGAGAAGUGUGCAGUGCUGUUUCACUAGAGAUGUACCAGCUAUGAUUACAAUGUAACUAGCCAAUGGAAAUCAUCCCAGUGGGGAAAGCUGGUUGAAAUUACAUCAUCGCACGCAGACAGUCAGAAGCACCAUGAUAUUACCUCCACAGAGAACAUUCUGCCUGUUAUUGUACAGCUUGGGGAGGUAUUUUCCAUAGACUAUAGGACCUGAUUUCCUAGACUAUAGGGGCUGGUCCUGGACUAAAAAGCUUGCUCAAUGAAGAUUCGCCAUAGAGAUAUAUUGUAGAUGAUUCUCUAAUUCUCUUUCUGUGGAUACCUUCACCUGAGAUGCACCAGAGAGAAAAGUGCUGUUUUGUAUGACCAGAGAUUAACCAGUUAUCCUUACCAUUUCCCCCAACUAGCCGCAGCUCAAAAGGUCAUCGGGCAAAGUUGAAAUGAUACUAGAACUGGCUGUAAACUAUUUGUAAUCACAUAAUUUCAACCAGUUUUGCUUUCUGGUAUUGCUCCUAAAUCGUCCUGUAGUAGUAUAGCUUUGCAGAGGUAAUUUCCAUAGACAAAGUCCUGUAGGCAAUAGGCCUACAUUAUCAAUUUGUAAACUGAGGAUGUUAAGGAAACAAUGCUGUGACACAUUCAAUUAAUUAAAUCCCUGCUUGAACUAAGUGUUCCGUUUGUUCACUCUUAUAUCUAUCGCCUUCUAACCUAAACAGAUUUUAGCUAGGUAAUGAUCCAUCCUGUUGUGAUCCAUCAGCAGUGCCAGACUCUGUGACAUCUCUGAUCUCUCUCUGCUGUUUACUCACAUUGUUAUCAUGAGAUGUUGUCUUGUUGAAUCUUUUCAACCUCUCACUGCUUGUGAUACCAGUCAGAUAUCUUGACUUUAGACAGUGUGGAAACAGUGAGUCUUGAGAGCAUCCCAGAACCCUUUCAGGUUUUCUUUUGUGUUCUGAGGAACGUUGUUUGUGCUCUGAAGGAAGACUCACUAACUCUUUGUUCGUUCUGAGCCUUCUUCCUUAAUGAAUGAAUGAAUUCCAGUGAUUCUAUCAGAGUUUCUUUCAGACAGCCUUCUUAGCAUUCUUGUUUUUCUAACCGCUCCUCAACCAUCCAACGUUAUUCUAAUGGCACACAAGGCAGACAAUGGUAGGGACUUUGCAAAUAGAGACUAUGCUUGAGACUGCGUUUAGAGCUCUCAAGUGCCAGACAUAAAGAGGAAUAUGACUGCAAUGUAACCCUGUCCUCUCUAGCCUAGUAACCUAUCAGUUUAAACAUUACAGCUAAACCCUGUCCUCUCUAGCCUGUCAGCUUCUACGUUACAGUAUUCAGUAGGCUGAAGUGUAAUGAUGCAGCAAUGCAUGAAACCCAGG